rnacentral:precursor_RNA from 1 species
CUUUACCAGGUUUAACGAGUAGAAUACCCAAGUCGAAAUUGAGUUACAUGGAUCGAUCAGCAUCUAAUAAAAAGAUUUCACAAUAUCGUGUUCGACUGGAAGAGAAGCAGAAAUUACGUUUUCAUCAUGGAUUAACAGAAAGGCAGUUACUCAAAUAUGUUUGUUUUGCGAAGAAAGCAAAAGGGUCAACUGGCCAAUUAUUGUUGCAGUUGCUUGAAAUGCGUAUGGAUAAUACUAUUUUUCGUUAAGGUAUGGUUCCUACAAUCCCCGCAGCGAGACAGUUAGUUAAUCAUAGACAUGUUUUAAUAAAUGCAAAUAUGGUUGAUAUACCAAGUUAUAACUGCAAAACCGGAGAUGUAAUUACAAUAAAAAAUCGGGGAAGAAACCGAUUGAAACUUGAAAGCAAUACAAAUUCAGUUCAGAAACACGGAAUACCAAAUCAUCUAGCUUUCGAGUCAAUAGAAUUUCGCGGAUCGGUGAAUAGAACAAUUGAUCGUGAAGGGAUAGAUCAUAAAAUCAACGACUGGUUAGUAGUGGAAUAUUAUUCUCGUCAUGUUUAC